UACAGAGGAUGCAAGCGUUAUCCGGAAUGAUUGGGCGUAAAGCGUCUGUAGGUGGCUUUUUAAGUCCGCCGUCAAAUCCCAGGGACUCGAACUCUGGACCAGGCGGUGGAAACUACCAAGCUUGAGUACGGUAGGGGCAGAGGGAAUUUCCGGUGGAGCGGUGAAAUGCGUGAGAGAUCCGGAAGGAACACCGACGGCGCAGGCAGCGUCCUGGCCGCUAGCUGACACUGAGGCACGAAAGCUGGGGGAGCAAACAGG
rnacentral:rRNA from 1 species